AAGGACACUUCAGGGACGGUGACCUCUGGAUCUGCAGAGAAAUUUUCAGAAAGGACAGAUGCUGCUGCCUGACGUUGCAGAGGGCUAACCAAAGGCACUCGUUUAAAUGCAUGUCACAGGCAGAAGAAAUGGACAACAGACAUAGAGGACAGGGACACAGAGGUGGGCGUUCACCAUGCAGCUUGGGGUGCCGGGCAGGGGACCCGCUGUGCACGGAGACCCACCUUCUCCUGCUCCCUCCCUCCCUCUCUUCCUCGUCCUUCUGUCACAACUUGACUGAGAAAUAACUUAGGUGUCCUAAUAUUUACCAGUCAAAAUCACACAACCCAGGGGUCCUAGCUGCUUAGAAUCGUGCAGCCGCCACUCGAGUCUAUUUCUAGAACCCUCGCCCCCAUUUACAGCUACCCCCAGCCCCAAGGCAACCACUAAUCUCUGUGUCUAUAAACGGGUCGUUUCCGGACGUGUAUGUAAACGGGACCAUACGAUGUGUGGCCUUCUGCAUGUGGCUCUCUUACUUUCUGCAGGGCUUUGGAGGGCCGUCUGGGCCGUGGCAUUUACCGGUGCUUCAUUGUGACUUAACACCCAGCAGCACUCCAUGGCCCGGGUACACUGUGCCUGGUUCACCUGCUCACCACCUGGGGGAUAUCUGGGGGUGGGGGGGUUCACUUAGUGGCUAUCACGAACCUGCACCUGUGAGUCUUAGGUGACUCUGUUCUCAUUGCUUUCGGUUAAAUACCUAGGGUAGGGUCCUUGGGCGCUGUUGUCCGUUUACGUCUAACAUUUCCAGAAGUGCCCAGCUGUUUCUGAGCAGCUGAACCAUCAACUCUUUAGAGUUUCUAAACCUAGGAGUCUUCUUCUUGAUCCACAGCUGAUAGGAUCGAGCAGGACCAUGUGACCCCUAUGGACCCGUAGGUUUUUUUCCCUUCUGAGAUCUUAGAACUGGGACCCACGAGGCAUACAUGUUUGAAUCCGCCGUGUGCCUGAUGGGGUGGCCUUGUGGCCCAGAAGGCAGAGAAAAGCAGACCAUAGAGAGGAGAGAGAAGCUGACCCAGAGACAAGGACAAGGUAGCCACUGGGACAAAGGUUCCAUGCUCCUGGCUCUGGACCCUUGUGAAAUCUAGCACGUGCCUGGUGUGGCUUGGCGUGUGACUUGGUCUUCAACAUUCCAGUGUCUUACAUUCCAUUUCUUCCUGUGAUUCAUGGUCGGUUUUGCCGGCAGUAACUAAGGCCGCCUUGUCUCGCUCAACACAUGUCCUCGGGAGCAACCUGUGGACAGAAGAAAGAAACAGCCUUCUCCCUGAAACUAUAGCAACUCGAGCAUUUAUAAAGCACCUACUGUGUGGGGGACACAGUAGGGUCCUCAAAAAAUUUAGCCGCUUGUAACCGAAGAGACGGAGAAGAACAUCAAGGAGAAUGUGUGCAAUUUUUUUUUGAAACAAAAUAGCUUUUUAAAUAUGUUCAAGUAGAUCAUGUUACAAUUUAAUUUUUUUAAAAAAUAAUAAUGUCAUGAAAAACUGCCAAGAUUAUAGAAUCAGGGCUCAUUAUGUGCUGAAAGGGCUUGAAAUAAAAGACAGCCCUUAAGUACUGAGAAUUCUAAUUAUAUGCCCCUUUAAAGAGCCACAGUCAUCUCUCCUGGUGACUAAUCUCGACUGUCUGUCAAGAACUGGCGACGGAGGAGUCACCCAAGUGCUGGACUGAUGGUCUCAUUCUGGGGUCUGGCUUGUGGCUUCCUCCCCUGGGUUCCCCCAGGAGCCUGUCUGUGUGACAAUCAAGAUGUCAUCAGAGAUUGCCUCUCUGGCUUUCCCCGAGUCUUGCCAGGAAGGGAAAGAGAACAAGAAAGGAAAAACUAGUCUGUAAAAGAAACACCCCGUGACAGGUCAGAGGGAAGGAAACCUGGGAGGCAUCCCUUCACUCAACGGCUACCUGUCCCUCGACCUUUGUUUCUCUAGCAAUAGAAGCUCAGCCCCAGGAGUGCUGGGACCCAGGUGGGCCUGGUCACUGUGGAAUUGUCACUCCCCGGACAGGACUGGCCAUGCUGUGGGGAUGGAGUUACUGCCUGUCGAACGCAUGAAUGGAGCAGAUUAGAGCAUCCCUGGUUCCAUGGGUUCGAAGCUGAGGUCCACGUGAGCUUUGCCAGGAGGCUCCACGUGAGAAAAACUUUCCAGGUCAUAAGCUACAGGACCUCUGACAGAACUGUGACCCAUCCACGGAAGCCUCGCACAUGAGAUGCAAGAUGCAAGCCCCCGUGGAGAAGCAUUCCAUUCACUUGCUGCUGUCAUAAAGGCAUUUGUUGAUCCCGUUUCUGUUAAAUGAGGAUCUGGUGUGGGCCAAGUUCAUGUUUAUAAGACCGAAACGACAAAGUGGGACUUCUUCUCCAGCUAGAGGGAUAGAUGUGCAAAAUGAUCUUGGUCUGGAGAGUUACUAGAUGGUAUCCCAGGGCUACCGAAUAGAAACCUGGAAGGCAAGCCAUGCUUGAAAUUUAAAAUUCCCCAGUAGUCACAUUUUAAAAAAGCAGAAAGAAACAGAUGAAAUUCAUCUGAAUAGCAUGUUUUAUUUGAGCUGUAUAUCCAAAGUGUGAUCAUGAAUAAGACAAUCAACCUGCAAAUCAUGAAUAAGACAAUUUGCACUGCCUCUUCAUCCUAAGCCUUUGACGGCUGAUGUCUAUUUUCCACUAACAACACAUCUCAUUUGGACACAAAGUUUUCAUUGAAAUUUUUUUUUUACUUUUAUUAUUUUUUUUUAAACUGGGGAUUGAACCCCGGAGUGCUUACCCACUGAGCCACGCCCCCAGCCUUUUUUAUUUUGUAUUUUGAGACAGGAUCUAAGUUGCUGAGGCUGGCCUCCUCAGCCUCCCGAAUUAUUGGGAUCACAGGCACGUGUCACCGUGCCUAGCUGGAAAUUCUUGAUCUAUCCUUAGAAUUUAUCAAAUUCAUAAUUUAAAAAAGAGUCAAUUCAAUCUAAAAGUCGUCCUAAACAUACUUUAAAAAUCUUUCAGUUGGGCUGGGGAUGUGGCUCAAGUGGUAGCGUGCUCGCCUGGCAUGCGUGCGGCCCGGGUUCAGUCCUCAGCACCACAUACAAACAAAGAUGUUGUGUUUGCCGAGAACUGAAAAAUAAAUAUUAAAAAAAAAAUUCUCUCUCUCUCUUAAAAAAAAAUCUUUCAGUAGCAGAAUCAUAUUUUUAAACUUGAAUUUGAAUGAAUCAAUAGUAAAUAAAAUGAACAGUUCAGUUUUUGAUUGAUCUGCCCCACACUUCAAGCUCUGUGUGGCCACUGGGCCCAGGGCUACCAUAUUGGACAGCAUAGAUAGGAGACAUCCCCUCCCUGCAGAAGUCUCUGUCACGCGGUGGUUCUCUGGGUUGUUUAGGAGACUGCACUUCCUCUCAGUGUUCUGUUGUAUCCACGAGCCCAGCAAAUAACACAGCGAGAUGUCAGUCAAUGAUGUGGAAGGAGCGAGGGAACAACAGCACUGUCACAGGACAGAGGUCGGAGAAAGGACACUUAUGGGAGGUUCUGACACGUGAGUAGGAGUUUUCUUGGCAAACAGCAAGGUGAAGACCAAGGAAGAGCCUGACACAUACGUGCCGGAUG
rnacentral:lncRNA from 1 species